rnacentral:rRNA from 1 species
CCCUUAGAUGUUCUGGGCCGCACGCGUGCUACACUGAGUGGAUCAGCGGGUCAGGUUGCGCGAAAGUGUUUCCUAAUCUUGAAAUCCGCUCGUGAUGGGGAUUGACGGUUGCAAUUUUCCGUCAUGAACGAGGAAUACCUUGUAAGCGCGGGUCAUCAUCCCGCGCUGAAUACGUCCCUGCCCUUGUACACACCGCCCGUCGCUCCUACCGAUUGAGUGGUCCGGUGAGGCUUUGGGAUCUGAGCGGAAAGAGCGUUUCGCUGUUUCUGCUCGGAAAACUCAGUCGAACCUUAUCAUUUAGAGGAAGGAGAAGUCGUAACA